rnacentral:rRNA from 1 species
CAGCAGCCGCGGGAAUACGUAGGGUGCGAGCGUUAAUCGGAAUUACUGGGCGUAAAGCGUGCGCAGGCGGUUGUGUAAGACAGGUGUGAAAUCCCCGGGCUUAACCUGGGAACUGCGCUUGUGACUGCACAGCUAGAGUAUGGCAGAGGGGGGUGGAAUUCCACGUGUAGCAGUGAAAUGCGUAGAGAUGUGGAGGAACACCGAUGGCGAAGGCAGCCCCCUGGGCCAAUACUGACGCUCAUGCACGAAAGCGUGGGGAGCAAACAGGAUUAGAUACCCCUGUAGUCCCUGUCUCUUAUAC